rnacentral:tRNA from 1 species
GGCAGUGUGGCACAGUGGGUAAAGAACUCGGCUUGUAACCGAAAGGUUAUAGGUUCAAUUCCAGGGUAUGACACUGCCG